AGUCCCAGCUCCAGUCCUUCAUCCACCUGGGACCUGCAGAGUGACAGGGAUGCUGCUGAACCAUCUCCUGAGAAGAGGAACCACACUUGCUGCCCAAUGUGUGGGGUGGUUAAAACAAAGGAAAUAUCAAGGAAAGCCAUCACAGGGAGCUCAUCGGCUUCACCCAGCUGUGUUUAAAUGACAUGACAGCCGCCAAAGUCUUGGAUUAAAAAUGAGACGGCUACCAUGGACAAGUCAAAAGUCUACAGGGUGUAUUCAUGAGUGACAUUAAGCAUGCUUCCUUUGUCCCCCAGAAAGAAGCACAGGCCAUUGGAUCUAGUCCUGCCCUCAGGAGCAACCGAGAAUAUGUCUGCCCUUCAGAUAAUGGAAGAGGGUGAUCAUCUCUCCCUGAAGUCUUCUCUUCUCCAGGAUAAACAGACUCCGCUUCUUCAAACGCUCCUCAUCAGGGUAGACAAUAAUGGGUUAAAUGGAUCAAGGGUCUGACUUGAUAUAAGCCAGCUUCAUACAAGAACUCAAGAGGCUGGUCAUAGGGACACAGGAACAUAGGAAACUGUCUUAUACUGAGUCAGACCAGUGGUCCAUCGAGCUCAGCAUUAUCUACACAGACUGGCAGUGGCUUCUCCAAGGUUGCAGGCAGGAGUCUCUCUCAGUGCUAUCUUGGAGAUGCUGCCAGGGAGGGAACUUGAGACCUUCUGCAUGCAGGUGCUCUUCCCAGACCGGCCCCAUAUCUUACCGUGCUCCCAUGUAUUCUCCCAUUCAAAUGCAAACCAAGGCAGACCGUGCUUAGCAAAGGGGACAAUUCAUGCUUGCUACCCCAAGACCAGCUCUCCUCUGGUCAUACAAAUGGGGGGAGUGUGGUGGGACUCUGUGGUCAGUGGCUAAAUGUAAAGCACGGUUCUGAAUCACAUGGAGAGAACUCCACCUCCAUAUUGUUAUGUGUGUGUAGGCUCCCUGCAGGUGAUUAACUAAAUAUAUGUAGAUCUCCCAGUCCCCACAGGUUCACUCAUCAGGCUUUUAAUGGCUAUGCUCAUGAUUCAUUGCAGACAGGUCAGUUGAGUAUGCCAUUACCACUGAGAUUUUGUGUGACCUGGUUCAGGUUCCUUCAGAGCAGACUUCUAGAUAACUACUGCUCCUACCUUAUCUUAGAGAGCACCUCCUUCUGUAUGAUCCCCACUGCACGUUAAGGUCAUCUGAGGAAGUCCUUCUCCAGUUACCACCGGUUCAUUGGGUGGCGACUCAGAGGCGGGCCUUCUCUGUAGCUGCUCCUGGGCUGUGGAAUGCACUCCCGGCAGAAAUCUGUAAUUUGAAUUCUCUAUUCGCCUUCGGGAGAGCCCUUAAAACCUCUGUUUGGCCUGGCCUUCCAUGGUUUUUAAAUAGUUGCAAUUGGUUUUAAUGUUGUAACCUGGUUUUCAGAGUGUUUUUAAUUGUUGUGAUUGUUUAAUUGCUGUUUUAUGAUGUUUUAAUUGUUAAUUGUUGUUUUAUGCUGUUUUAUAAUUUUUGUUUUAAUUGUUAACUGAUUUUAAUGGCUUUGUUUUAAUUGUAAACCUCCCUGAGCCAUUUUCAAGGGCGAUAUAAAAAUCAAAUAAAGGAAGGAAGGAAGGAAGGAAGGAAGGAAGGUAGGUAGGUAGGUAGGUAGGUAGGUAGGUAGGUAGGUAGGUAGGUUCGGGUUUUCUUCCAGCUCAAGUCAACAGUAAAUGUUUUGUUUGGGUCUUCAGUUUGGCUCCAUGGGUGCAUACAGAGUUAACAGAGCAAGACUGGUCUUACACUCAGUUCUUCUCCCUGGGAGAACAUGCUAUUAAGAUGUGCAGUCCCACCCCCAGAAUAAAUUGUGCUAAACAAAGAAAUGCUCUCUCUAAUGAGACGGAAUCCUCAUCUAAUCAAUAUAUUAUCUCACUUGGCUUGAAAUCAUAAAACCUUUCAUUGCUUCUAAUUAAAGACAAAAUUACUCAUAGGCCAGACAAAUUUAUGCUAAUCAUAAGCUUGAUUCAAGUGGCAUUUUCAACAUUAUAAAAAUAAUAAGAAUGUCAGUGUUUAAACCGAGAACUCAUUGGAACUAAAGAAAAGGGUGGGGGUGGGGAAAAAACAAAUGACUUGGAGUGAGAUUAUUCCUUUCAAUUAAUUAAGUCACUCCUGAUUAGGUAUUUUAACUUCCCUGAGUCUUUGUUACACUUUUUUUGGCUUUUCACAGAGGUAUAGGGGACCUGUGUGAUAGCAAUGAGCAAUCUGAUCGGUCAUGGUGGUGAGCAAUUAUUUGUAAUUAGAACAAUGAAAAAGUACUCUGAGUGUGUGUGUGCGUGUCCAUGUGUGCGCACACCUUUGUGUGGGGGCUUGAGCAUGGUCUUAACAAUCCAGAGGGGUUGGUGACGUGAUUGAACUUUGAAGAGUGAUGAACUUUCAUUGAAGAGUGAUUAACUUUCAAAAGCUUAAAGGUCCUACUUGAAUCAGCGUUCAGAUGUCUGAGUCUUCUCCAUUUUCAGAAUCACACACUCCAGAAAGUCAGCCCAGAGGCCUUAUCUAUUUAUUAAAACGUGCCUCAGCUUUCAGUCCCAAAUGGGACCCCCUCCAGAUGAACACAGGGGAACAGGAAGCUGCCGUAUACUGAGUCAGGCCCUUAGUCCCUCUAGCUCAGUAUUGUCUACACUGACUGGCAGCAGCUUCUCCAAGGUUGCAGGCAGGAGCCUUUCCCAGCUCUGCCUGGAGAUGCUGCCAGGGAUUGAAACUGGGUCCUUCUGCAUGCAAGGCAGAUGCUCUACCAUUGUGCAGCACCCC